CUGAUUGAAAGCAACACGCGGCUCAACUUAAUUCUCAUAAACAAAAUAUUUUUUUGUUGAUACUUGAUAGUCUCUAGCAUUUUAUUUUUUUUAAGUUUUCUAAUACAAUGAGUAUAUUAUUUCCCAGAUGUUUUAAGGUUUUACAACCCAAAUCGCUUGUAUCACGGCUUUACUGUAGCUCUGGCCCAAAAAUUGAAAAAACUAUAAAUUCAAUAACAUUACUUGGUAGGAUUGGUGCAGAUCCUCAAAAGCGUGGUACUGACCAGCACCCAGUUGUGACAUUUUCAUUAGCAACCCAUAAUAACUAUAAAUAUGAAAGCGGUGAUUGGGCACAAAGAACUGAUUGGCAUAGAAUUGUAGUAUUUAAACCUAGUCUUCGUGAUACAGUUAUGGAUUUUAUGAAAAAAGGACAACGUGCUUUAGUUCAAGGGAAAAUCACAUAUGGAGAAAUAACAGAUACGGAGGGAAAUCAACGCACAAGUACAAGUAUAAUUGCAGAUGAUAUCGUAUUCUUUAGAGAAAAUAAAGAAUAAAUUUCCAAAAUAAUCACAAAGGAAAUAAUCAUCUUCAUGCUUUUUACAUUAUCUCAUUCAUUUUAUUAUUUUGCUAAGAAAAGGAAUUUCAUUAUGUUGUUAAAUAAGAUUAAGAAGUCGAAUAAAUAGAAAGUUUUUAUUUUAAUAAAAUAAAGACAUAAUUAAAUGUAAAAGGGCUUACUAAUGAAAAUGGUAUUGUUUGGCUAUAUUGAACUUCAAUCAGAAUACUACAUACUUUUUGAAAAUUGUUUGUGUAGUAUAUUGGUGACUGUUGUAUUAAUAUUUUACACUGUCUGAAGUAUUUUAUGAAGAAGUAUAUAAGAUGUGAAUGAUAUGAUUAGUCUUGGAACGACAUAUGCUUCCCAAUGGAAUAUUUAAAAAUGAAAUCAUUUCUAACACUUCAAUUGGUCUGCCAUAAUUUUUACUAAAAUUAUAUAAGGUUUUGUCUAACAAUAAUAAGACCCAAUUUUUUUUUAAAUAUUAUAAUUUUUAGAGCAAAAUCAACUUAGAAUUUUAAAAUUCUGUAUUGAAAAUUUAUGUAUGUAUGUUGUUUUGAAUUAACAUUCUAUCAGGGCUAGUUCCAUGUCUAACAAAACAUAUGGAAUCAUUUUUUUUAGGGUAAAAGGAAAAUAGUAAUGAAAGCAAAUGUAGGUCUAAGAUAAUUAUUUAAUGGAAGCUAGAAUUAAGAAAGACAAACAAUUUUUAUUUAUUAUUCAACAUUAUUUUUUAUUGUUUUUUUUUAAAUAUUUUUUGUUUUGUACCUAACUUAUUUUCUUUCAUGUUUAUUUUUUUUUCUCUUAUUUUAUUUUUAAAUAUAUUUUUUAAACAUUUUUUAAUUUUUUCCUCUGUUUUUUUUUUCUUG